AGAGUUGAUCCUGGCUCAGGAUGAACGCUGGCGACGUGGAUAAGGCAUGCAAGUCGAACGGUUGUAGCAAUACAACAGUGGCGAACGGGUUAGUAACACGUAGAUAUCAACCCUUUACUCGGGCAUAACCUGGAGAAAUCUAGGCUAAUUCCCGAUAGUCCGGAAACGGUAAAGAUUUUUCGGUAAAGGAUGAGUCUGCGUCCUAUCAGCUAGUUGGUGAGGUAAUGGCCCACCAAGGCAAUGACGGGUAGGCGGAGUGAGAGCUUGACCGCCAACAAUGGCACUGGAACAUGGACCAUACUCCUACGGGAGGCAGCAGUCGAGAAUAUUUGACAAUGGGCGAAAGCCUGAUCAAGCGACGUCGCGUGUGGGAUUAAGAUCUUCGGAUUGUAAACCACUUUUCUAGGGGAAGAACUUUGACUGUACCCUAGGAAUAAGGGGUGACUAAACUCGUGCCAGCAGUAGCGGUAAUACGAGUGCCCCAAGCGUUAUCCGGAUUUAUUGGGCGUAAAGGGUCUGUAGGUGGUUUGUUAAGUUUCUCGUUAAAGCUCCAGGGCUUAACCUUGGAAAAGCGGGAAAAACUGGCAAACUAGAGGAUGUUAGAGGCUGAUGGAACACUUGGUGAAGGGGUGGAAUCCGUUGAUAUCAAGUGGAACACCGAAAGCGAAGGCAAUCAGCUGGGACAGUCCUGACACUGAAAGACGAAAGCGUGGGGAGAGAAAAGGAUUAGAUACCCUUGUAUUCCACGCCUUAAACGAUGAAUACUGGCUAUUGCAAGUGUCGACCCUUGCAGUGGCGAAGCUAACGCGUUAAGUAUUCCGCCUGGGAAGUACGGCCGCAAGGCUAAAACUCAAAUGAAUUGACGG
rnacentral:rRNA from 1 species